rnacentral:rRNA from 1 species
GACGAACGCUGGCGGCGUGCUUAACACAUGCAAGUCGAACGGAAAGGCCCUGCUUUUGUGGGGUGCUCGAGUGGCGAACGGGUGAGUAACACGUGAGUAACCUGCCCUUGACUUUGGGAUAACUUCAGGAAACUGGGGCUACUACCGGAUAGGAGCUCCUGCUGCAUGGUGGGGGUUGGAAAGUUUCGGCGGUUGGGGAUGGACUCGCGGCUUAUCAGCUUGUUGGUGGGGUAGUGGCUUACCAAGGCUUUGACGGGUAGCCGGCCUGAGGGGGUGACCGGCCACAUUGGGACUGAGAUACGGCCCAGACUCCUACGGGGGGCAGCAGUGGGGAAUAUUGCACAAUGGGCGGAAGCCUGAUGCAGCAACGCCGCGUGCGGGAUGACGGCCUUCGGGUUGUAAACCGCUUUCGCCUGUGACGAAGCGUGAGUGACGGUAAUGGGUAAAGAAGCACCGGCUAACUACGUG